AUUGAACGCUGGCGGCAGGCCUAACACAUGCAAGUCGAGCGGAGCGGCGGACGCGUGAGUAUUGCCUAGGAAUCUGCCAGGUAGCGGGGGAGAACGUACGGAAACGGGCGCUAACACCGCAUAAUAUCCGAUGAGCCUAGGUCGGAUGAGGUAGUGGGUGGGGUAAAGGCACACAAUGGCGACGAUCCGUAACUGGUCUGAGAGGAUGAUCAGUAACACUGGAACUGGGACACGGUCCAGACUCCUACGGGUGGCAGCAGUGGGGAAUAUUGGACAAUGGUGGAAGGCCUGAUCCGGCCAGGCCGCGUGUUUGAAGAAGGUCUUCGGAGUGUAAAGCACUUUAAGUUGGGAGGCGUUACCAACAGAAUAAGCACCGGCUAACUUCGUGCCAGCAGCCGCGGUAAUUC
rnacentral:rRNA from 1 species